rnacentral:tRNA from 1 species
GCAGUGGUGGUUCCAUGGUAGAAUUCUCGCCUUCCAUGCAGGAGACCCAGGUUCAAUUCCUGGCCAGUGUA